CUGUUCCCGCCUCUCCAGUUAAGGCCGCUGGUGUGAGCCGGGGCUCGGCGCGAGCCAGGGACGACGGAAGGGACGGGCAGGUGUGGGCGCGGGGCCGCUCAGCCCGACGGCGGGAGUCGCAGCCACUCGGUGCAUGGGCCAGUGAGGACGCGCGGAGAUCCCCGCGCCGCGGCGAAGGCGGAGCAGCGCGGGAGCAAGGCGCUGCCCGGCGACCCUGCGUCCGAGCGAGCGGAACCUUGCGCUUCGCCCGGGGACGGUCCGAAGUCCGCGCUAUGGAAGAGGAGAAAUAUUUGCCUGAGCUGAUGGCAGAGAAAGAUAGCCUGGAUCCAUCUUUUGUGCAUGCAUCGCGCCUUUUGGCGGAAGAAAUUGAAAAAUUUCAAGGUUCUGAUGGAAAAAAAGAAGAUGAAGAAAAGAAAUAUCUUGAUGUCAUCAGCAACAAAAACAUAAAGCUCUCAGAAAGGGUAUUGAUUCCUGUCAAGCAAUAUCCAAAGUUCAAUUUUGUGGGGAAAUUGCUUGGACCAAGAGGAAACUCCUUGAAGAGACUACAGGAAGAAACAGGUGCUAAAAUGUCUAUCCUGGGCAAAGGAUCAAUGAGAGAUAAAGCAAAGGAAGAAGAAUUAAGGAAGAGUGGGGAAGCCAAGUAUGCCCACUUGAGUGAUGAACUUCAUGUAUUAAUUGAAGUGUUUGCUCCACCUGGGGAAGCUUAUUCACGAAUGAGUCAUGCACUGGAAGAGAUUAAAAAAUUCCUGGUUCCUGACUACAAUGAUGAAAUUCGUCAGGAACAGCUACGUGAAUUAUCUUACUUAAAUGGCUCAGAGGACUCUGGUCGUGGCAGAGGUAUUAGAGGCAGAGGGAUCAGAAUAGCCCCCACAACCCCUUCAAGGGGCCGUGGGGGCGCCAUUCCUCCUCCCCCCCCACCUGGACGGGGUGUCCUCACCCCUCGAGGGACUACUGUGACUCGUGGAGCUCUUCCAGUGCCUCCUGUAGCAAGAGGUGUCCCUACUCCACGAGCCCGCGGAGCACCGGCAGUGCCGGGAUACAGGGCACCCCCUCCUCCAGCCCAUGAGGCUUAUGAAGAAUAUGGGUAUGAUGAUGGCUACGGGGGUGAAUAUGAUGACCAGACCUAUGAGACUUAUGAUAACAGCUAUGCCACCCAAACGCAAAGUGUGCCUGAAUACUAUGACUACGGUCAUGGAGUAAGUGAGGAUGCCUAUGACAGCUACGCACCAGAAGAAUGGACCACAACCCGCUCCAGCCUGAAGGCACCACCGCCAAGGUCAGCCAGAGGGGGAUACAGGGAGCACCCCUAUGGUAGAUAUUGAAGGUCCUUCUCACCCGUGACCUCACCUCAAAGACAAUUCAUAGCCUGUGGUCUCCACAUAAACAGCAACAAGACAAGUAUCCACAAGCAAAGAGCACAUAAUUGAAUAGCAGAUGCGAUGGCCUAAGAAGGAUAGAGGCUAUAUCUCUGAAUGCAUUAACUCAGGGCAGGGCUGUCACAGCAGAAACAUCAGUGCUGAUCAACAGAAGAGAAUAUUCUUGGCUGCUGAAUUAAAAAGUAAGAGUUUGUAAAGCACAAAAAAAACAUGAUUUGUGAGAAAGCUGAUUUUGAGUUUCAAAAGCCUGCAUUUUGAGUAGGCUUUAACUAGCACAUAAAGUUAUGUGUUAAUAGUAGACUCCAAUCGAUCAAUCAGCAAUUCAUCCACCAAACUUUGACUCUUAAAAUAAUCAGAAGUGAAUAUAGUAGGUUUCUCCAGCAAUGGGGAAUGAUAAUUUCCCUGAGUUAGUGGCCUUUUAGCAGAAACCUUUGAUAGAAUGAAACUGUUCAGAGUGCCCAAAGGGUGCCUUCUUGUCUUGUCAGUAUCCCACAGUGAUGCCCCAUCCCAGCGUCAUCCCUUCAUGACAUCACGUCUGCUCUUACUACUUUCAAAGUGCUGGCACCCAAAGAUGGCAGGCAAGAGCUACCUUGCCAUUGAUAUACAAACAUUCUCAAGUCUGACAUUCACUUCUGCAAGUCAUAUAAACUUGCAUGGCAAAUUAAGGUUUAUAAAUGAUAGUGCAUUCCAUGUAAGUGCAGCUUGAAGUUAUCCCUGUGUAUGUUCCAGCAUCAUUCAGAUAAUGCUGGAACUCUUGGAACAGUGAUGAUCCUAUGACAGGUAAGAACUCACCAAAACACCAAAGGUAGCUAGCUUGGACACUAAACAAAAUAUUAUAAAUAGUAAUAAUAGCAUCAAUAUGGAGAAAGGUCUUUGUGCCUGCUAUUUGUCCCAAAGAAAGUUUUACUACACUCAAGUAUGAUUCAAUCAGAAUCAAUCUGAUGCAAUUUAAGAGACCAAAUAGUGCUUUUAGGUCUUAUUUGUACUAUUUAGAUCAUUUUUAUUUUCAGUAUAUUAAUGGAACUAAGGCCAUUUAGCUUAAUAACAAUUGAAGCACUAACAGUUUUUAAAUAAAUUUGACACAAAAGACAUGUUAAAGGUUCCCAUGAAUUCUUCUCAGGGAAAUAGUUUGUUUUCAAACUGUAUUAUUAAGAAAUUAUUCUUGUGCCUUUAGUUCUUCAACUUAAAAAUAAACCAUUGUGAAAACCACAAAUGUCCCUUAACUCUACAGCAUUCUCUCUCAUUAUGUCUCUUGGUUAACAUAAUAUAGAAGUUUAUAUGUUUCUGGGGUGCCUGGAUGGCUCAGUCAGCUAAGUGUCUGACUUCGCCUCAGGUCAUGCAUGAUCUCACAGUUGGUGUG